rnacentral:rRNA from 1 species
GAUGAACGCUGGCGGCGUGCUUAACACAUGCAAGUCGAACGGGAUCCAAGGGGUGCUUGCACUUUUUGGUGAGAGUGGCGAACGGGUGAGUAACACGUGAGUAACCUGUCCUUUUCUUUGGGAUAAGCAUUCGAAAGGGUGUUUAAUACCUUAUGUUCUGUCUGCCUCGCAUGGGGUGGGUGGGAAAGGCUUUGGCCGGAUUUGGGUGGGCUCGCGGUCUAUCAGCUUGUUGGUGGGGUGAUGGCUUACCAAGGCUUUGACGGGUAGCCGGCCUGAGAGGGUGGUCGGUCACAUUGGGACUGAGAUACGGCCCAGACUCCUGCGGGAGGCAGCAGUGGGGGAGAUUGGACAAUGGGCGAAAGCCUGAUGCAGCGACGCCGCGUGGGGGAUGAAGGCCUUCGGGUUGUAAACUUCUUUUGCUCUGAACAAGGCAUGCCAGUGGGUGUGUUGAGUGUAGGGGUUGAUUAGCGCCGGCUAACUACGUG